UACGGAAGGGGCUAGCGUUGUUCGGAAUUACUGGGCGUAAAGAGCGCGUAGGCGGCUUACCAAGUUGGGGGUGAAAUCCCGGGGCUCAACUCCGGAACUGCCUUCAAAACUGCUAGGCUCGAGUCCGGAAGAGGGGAGUGGAAUUCCGAGUGUAGAGGUGAAAUUCGUAGAUAUUAGGAAGAACACCAGUGGCGAAGGCGGCGCACUGGUCCGGUACUGACGCUGAGGUGCGAAAGCGUGGGGAGCAAACAGG
rnacentral:rRNA from 1 species